GACAGAGGUGGCAAGCGUUGUUCGGAUUUAUUGGGUGUAAAGGGUCCGUAGGUGGUUAUGUAAGUCUGGCGUGAAAUCCCAUGGCUCAACCAUGGAACUGCGUUGGAAACUAUAUGACUUGAGUAUCGGAGAGGUAAGGGGAAUUCUCGGUGUAAGGGUGAAAUCUGUAGAUAUCGAGAGGAACACCAGUGGCGAAGGCGAGAUCCUGGACAGUAUCUGACACUGAUGCACGAAGGUCAGGGGAGCAAACGGGAUUAGAAA
rnacentral:rRNA from 1 species